UGCCGGCAUGGCGGAAUGGCAGACGCGCUCGACUCAAAAUCGAGUCCGAAAGGGUGGAGGUUCGAGUCCUCUUGCCGGUAUC
rnacentral:tRNA from 2 species